rnacentral:rRNA from 1 species
AUCCUACGGGAGGCAGCAGUGGGGAAUAUUGGACAAUGGGCCACAAGCCUGAUCCAGCAAUUCUGUGUGCACGAUGAAGGUCUUCGGAUUGUAAAGUGCUUUCAGUUGGGAAGAAAGAAGUGACGGUACCAACAGAAGAAGCGACGGCUAAAUACGUGCCAGCAGCCGCGGUAAUAAU